CGGGUGUAGUUCAAUGGUAGAACUUCAGCUUCCCAAGCUGAUGAUGGGAGUUCGAUUCUCCUCACCC
rnacentral:tRNA from 1 species